rnacentral:rRNA from 1 species
AUUGAACGAUGGCGGCAGGCUUAACACAUGCAAGCCGCGCGGGGAAGGUUGCUUCGGUAACUGACCUAGCGGCGGACGGGUGAGUAAUGCUUAGGAAUCUGCCAUUUAGUGGGGGACAACAUUCCGAAAGGAAUGCUAAUACCGCAUACGUCCUACGGGAGAAAGCAGGGGAUCUUCGGACCUUGCGCUAAAUGCUGAGCCUACGUCGGAUGUGCUAGUUGGUGGGGUAAGGGCCUGCCAAGGCGUCGUUCUGUAGCGGGUCUGAGAGGAUGAACCGCCACACUGGGACUGAGACACGGCCCAGACUCCUACGGGAGGCAGCAGUGGGGAAUAUUGGACAAUGGGCGGAAGCCUGAUCCAGCCAUGCCGCGUGUGUGAAGAAGGCCUUAUGGUUGUAAAGCACUUUAAGCGAGGAGGAGGCUACCUAGAUUAAUACUCUAGGAUAGUGGACGUUACUCGCAGAAUAAGCACCGGCUAACUCUGUGCCAGCCGCCGCGGUAAAAC